AGCACCUGACCCCAUGCCGAACUCAGAAGUGAAACGCCGUAGCGCCGAUGGUAGUGUGGGGUCUCCCCAUGCGAGAGUAGGGAACUGCCAGGC
rnacentral:rRNA from 1 species